UACGUAGGGGGCUAGCGCUUGUCCGGAAUCAUUGGGCGUAAAGAGCGUGUAGGCGGCCCGGUAAGUCCGCUGUAAAAGUCAAAGGCUCAACCUUUGAAUGUCAGUGGAUACUGCCGGGCUAGAGUCCGGAAGAGGCGAGUGGAACUCCUGGUGUAGCGGUGGAAUGCGCAGAUAUCAGGAAGAACACCAACGGCGAAGGCAGCUCGCUGGGACGGUACUGACGCUGAGACGCGAAAGCGUGGGGAGCGAACAGG
rnacentral:rRNA from 1 species